rnacentral:rRNA from 1 species
GGGCCCGCACAAGCAGUGGAGCGUGUGGUUUAAUUCGAAGCUACGCGCAGAACCUUACCAGGCCUUGACAUCCCCUGAUGGCCUCAGAGAUGAGGCGUUCUGGUUUCCAGACAGGGAGACAGGUGUUGCAUGGUUGUCGUCAGCUCGUGUCGUGAGAUGUUGGGUUAAGUCCCGCAACGAGCGCAACCCCCGUCCUGUGUUGCCAGCGUAAAGACGGGCACUCACAGGAGACUGCCGGAGACAAUUCGGAGGAAGGUGGGGAUGACGUCAAAUCCUCAUGGCCCUUAUGGCCUGGGCUACACACGCGCUACAAUGGCCCGUACAGAGGGAAGCGAAAGAGCGAUCUGGAGCGAAUCUCAGAAAGCGGGUCUCAGUUCGGAUUGCAGGCUGCAACUCGCCUGCAUGAAGCCGGAAUUGCUAGUAAUCGCAGAUCAGCUACGCUGCGGUGAAUACGUUCUCGGGCCUU